AAAAGAAGGCUUCAGGAUUUUGCCUCCAUCCACUGAGCUGAAACAGAUACAGGAGGCUCAAGAUUGCUCAUCUCAGAGGCUGUCAAGGUCCUCAAUUGUCUUGAGGUGCUGUCAGUGGUGGACCAUGGAGAUGCUGACUUUUCAUGUACACCAGGAGCAGAUGAGAUCCAGGUAAGAGAAAGCAGUGUCAUUCUCUACAAGACAGCCGAAGAUUCUACCACAUGCCCUGUUACUUUUUCUCAUUUCUUUUUGUGCCAUAUCUAACUUAG
rnacentral:lncRNA from 1 species